rnacentral:rRNA from 1 species
UACGGAAGGGGGCUAGCGUUGCUCGGAAUCACUGGGACGUAAAGCGCACGUAGGCGGCUUUCUAAGUCAGGGGUGAAAUCCUGGAGCUCAACUCCAGAACUGCCUUUGAUACUGGAGAGCUUGAGUCCGGGAGAGGUGAGUGGAACUCCGAGUGUAGAGGUGAAAUUCGUAGAUAUUCGGAAGAACACCAGUGGCGAAGGCGGCUCACUGGCCCGAUACUGACGCUGAGGUGCGAAAGCGUGGGGAGCAAACAGG